rnacentral:rRNA from 1 species
GUCCNGCUAACUUUCGUGCCCAGCAGCCGCGGUAAUACGAAAGGGACCUAGCGUANUCGGAAAUUACUGGGCUUAAAGAGUUCGUAGGUGGUUGAAAAAGUUAGUGGUGAAAUCCCAGAGCUUAAACCCUGGAACUGCCAUUAAAACUUUUUAGCUAGAGUAUGAUAGAGGAAAGCAGAAUUUCUAGUGUAGAGGUGAAAUUCGUAGAUAUUAGAAAGAAUACCAAUUGCGAAGGCAGCUUUCUGGAUCAUUACUGACGCUGAGGAACGAAAGCAUGGGUAGCGAAGAGGAUUAGAUACCCUCGUAGUCCAUGCCGUAAACGAUGUGUGUUAGACGUUGGAAAUUUAUUUUCAGUGUCGCAGGGAAACCGAUAAACACACCGCCUGGGGAGUACGACCGCAAGGUUAAAACUCAAAUGAAUUGACGGGGACCCGCACAAGUAGUGGAGCAUGUGGUUUAAUUCGAAGAUACGCGCAGAACCUUACCAACACUUGACAUGUUCGUCGCGACUCUAAGAGAUUAGAGUUUUCGGUUCGGCCGGACGAAACACAGGUGCUGCAUGGCUGUCGUCAGCUCGUGUCGUGAGAUGUUGGGUUAAGUCCCGCAACGAGCGCAACCCUCACUUUUAGUUGCCAUCAUUAAGUUGGGCACUCUGAAAGAACUGCCAGUGAUAAGCUGGAGGAAGGUGGGGAUGACGUCAAGUCCUCAUGGCCCUUACGUGUUGGGCUACACACGUGCUACAAUGGUAUCUACAACAGGAAGCAAGACUGCGAAGUUAAGCAAAUCCCUAAAAGAUACCCCAGUUCGGAUUGCACUCUGCAACUCGAGUGCAUGAAGCUGGAAUUACUAGUAAUCGUGGAUCAGCGUGCCACGGUGAAUGCGUUCCCGGGUCUUGUACACACCGCCCGUCACACCAUGGGAGUUGGUUCUACCUUAAGGCAAGGUUUCAAACCCUUGACCACGGUAUAGUCAGCGACUGGGGUGAAGUCGUAACAAGGUAGCCGUA